GGAAUAUUGGACAAUGGGGGCAACCCUGAUCCAGCGACGCCGCGUGUGUGAAGAAGGCCUGCGGGUUGUAAAGCACUUUUAGUGGGGAUGAAAAGCCGAAGGCUAAUACCUUUCGGUCUUGACCUAACACAAAGAAACAGCACCGGCUAACUCUUUGCCAGCAGCCGCGGUAAUACAGAGGGUGCAAGCGUUAAUCGGAAUUACUGGGCGUAAAGCGUGCGUAGUCGGUUAUUCAAGUCGGGUGUGAAAGCCCCGGGCUCAACCUGGGACUUGCAUUCGAUACUGUUUAGCUAGAGUUCGGCAGAGGGAAGCGGAAUUUCCGGUGUAGCGGUGAAAUGCGUAGAUAUCGGAAGGAACAUCAGUGGCGAAAGCGGCUUCCUGGACCAGAACUGACGAUCAGGCACGAAAGCGUGGGGAGCAAAC
rnacentral:rRNA from 1 species